UUCAUCGACGAACGUAACAAACUGGUUCCAGGACGACCCUUUCGAUCGGCUGUGGGAAACCGUCGACGUUUCCUCCUACUGGACCGCGAUCAACACCACCUCUCCUGUCCAGAUCUUCGCCAAUGUUUUGUUCGAGGUUCCCUCCGCCGUGCUCCAGACCGCCGUCGCCCCAGUUCAGCUGGAAGACGCCCAAAUCUGAGGAUGCCUGCCCCCAGCACCACAUCUUUAUGCACUUCCCCGACCUCCAAUCCCUUGACCCAGGCCAGUCCAGAAACUUCAACAUCAACCUCAACGGCCAAUUCUACCACCCCCCCGUACUCUUCCCCCUGAGACCUCUAAUCGGGAUAUGUGUACGCCACGAGACCGUCUGAUACGGACCAUAACUUCUCCCUCGCCGAGACAGACUCUUCGACCCUUCCGCGCAUCAUCAAUGCGCUCGAGGUCUAUUCCGUCAGGCAGCUCACGGAGAACGCCACCGAUAGCUCCGACGUGGAUGCCAUUGAGGCAAUCAAGAAUCAGUAUAAAGUGAACAGAAAUUGGACGUGGUCGGGUGAUCCAUGCGCUCCAGGAGGGAUACAUGGGAUGGUUUGGAUUGCAGCUAUAGUAUUUCUGAUCCCCCUGGGAUUACAUCAGUGAGAGUUUCCAAAUGUCUAGACCAAGAUUUUUGCAACUUAAUAUGCUUAUUUAACAUCCUCAUGGACUCGUGUAUUGCAGAAACUCGUCUUAUAGUGGAUUGACGGGCAGUAUAUGUCAUUCCUUUGCUAACAUCAAAGCAAUCGAGUAUUAGGGUCUUGCCGAAGGUUAAUUUUGGCCUGGGAAUCAGGAUCUCCUAUAAUUUUAAUAGGUACGAAUUCUCAACCAACUGUUAUUUGUCAACGAGGACUGACUUUUAAAUCCCAAAUAAAAAUGUUAAAUUAGUAGAAACAUGCCUACAAACUUUGAGGAGUGAGACUGAAGGUUUUUUUAUGUGGAGCAGAACUCUGCAGUAGAAUUUCUUGAUAGACAUCCUUUUCUCUUCAGCUAGGUUUCAUGCAUUACACAGUCUACCAAGUUGACUAUCUUAUGUCCUUUGCUCUCACGUAGCUGGGUCUCCUUUCCCAUGUUACUGAUAUAAACGGUGGUUAUUGUUUUGAUCUGGUUCCAAAGGUCUUCCAUACAGGCUACGAAAUCCAUCAGCUUUUCCUGUCUAGUUGUUGCUUUAAGAAUGCUGUCAGGUCAAUGAACGAAAGUAUUUUAAGCAAUGGAACUUUCCCAUGAUGACCUAUCCCCAUAUCCUUAUAAAUGAACUGCUCCCGUUGAGCUCAUUGAGAAAAAGCUUUGGCAGGUGGUGAUUUUGUAUGAUAAUUUGGAAGGUCAUGGCUGUCUGAUGGCAAUUUCCAGGGACCUGUCAUACAACAACUUAACAGGGCCAGUACCUGACAUUUUAGCAGAGCUUCCUUUCCUCGAAGUCCUAAAUUUGUCAAGCAACCAGUUAAUUGGGUCAAUUCCUUCUGCUUUCCUUGUAAAAUCACAAAAUGGACUUACAGUAAGGCAGAACACAUAAUGCUGGAGCUUUGAGUCGGGGGCAGCGACUCCAGAUUGCAGUCGAUGCUGCACAAGGACCAGAGUAUAUUUGCAUAAGGGGUGCCAACCACCAUUAAUUCACAGAGAUGCGAAGACAGGGAAUAUCCUUUUGAGUGAAAGGAUGGAGGCCAAGAUAGCAGAAGAUUUUGGGUUGUCAAAGAUACCUUGAUCCUGAUUAUGUCAAUCUUCUCAUUUCUUUAAUUUUGCUGCUAGAGAGUUGAAACAUACAUAACUAAGUUGAUAGAUGAUGGUCAAGAAGAUAAACAAUGGUCAUUCGUAAACCACACAUUUGAAAGUAAAUUGUUAUUUUCAUGUUAUCAUUUAUUUUGUGCAUUAUGCAUAGACAUCUUAGGUUAAACAUACAUCACAAAGGAGAGAAAAUUAAUUUGCUGAUAUGCAUUUCAGCAUUAGAAGUUUCUAUUGCUGCUGUUAUCAUUUCUUUUGCUGUUUGUGUUUAUACCUUCUGCAAAUGAGACAGUUGAUCACAUCUGGCAGGUCUCCAAGGAUUGUUGUAUUACAGCAGGUGGCACUACACCACCUACCAGCUCAGUCAGAAAAGCGAUGUGUAUAGCUUUGGUGUGGUUCUUUUAGAGCUGAUCACAGAGCAGCCUCCACUCCUACAAGGUUCAAAGAAUGCACACAUUGAGUCCGCCAAGGACUUGUCCAAGGGAACAUUGAAGAUAUUGUCGAUGCCAAGCUGCAAGACCAAUACGACAUAAAUUCUGUUUGGAAAUGUGCUAAUAUAGCCAUGAAAUGCACAUCACAGGGAUCCCAUCAGAGGCCAACCAUGGCAGAAGUGUAAUGCAGCUAAAGGAGAGCUUGGAACUGGAAACCCCUCAUGACAGGCCUGAGAACGUAGGCGCAAGCAGUGAGUACCCUAACAUGGAAGCCAGUGAUGUGAGCCAGAAUAGUGCAUAUGUCGCAUCCGUCCAUCAGCAAGGUAAUGCUGGGAUCACUUGAACUUUACUCUUGAGGCUCUGUUCUAUUCCGAUCCUAGGAGUUUGAAAUGGUUUCUGGCUGAAGUUUGAAUUGUUUAGCUUCAUGCAUGUCUUAUGCACUUUGAUGAUUGAUUCGGAAAAUAAGUUUCUGAGAUCCAAAAAUAAGGCACUCCAUUUGUAUACUGAGGACAGCAAAUACUGGUUUCAAUACAAACUGAAAUAUUUCUGAUGCU